rnacentral:tRNA from 3 species
GCACCAGUAGUUUAAUGGCAGAACAGAAGUUUUCCAAACUGCGGAAACGGGUUCGAUUCCCGUCUGGUGCU